rnacentral:rRNA from 1 species
AUUGAACGCUGGCGGCAGGCCUAACACAUGCAAGUCGAACGGUAGCAGGAAGAAGCUUGCUUCUUUGCUGACGAGUGGCGGACGGGUGAGUAAUGUCUGGGAAACUGCCUGAUGGAGGGGGAUAACUACUGGAAACGGUAGCUAAUACCGCAUAACGUCGCAAGACCAAAGAGGGGGACCUUCGGGCCUCUUGCCAUCGGAUGUGCCCAGAUGGGAUUAGCUAGUUGGUGGGGUAACGGCUCACCAAGGCGACGAUCCCUAGCUGGUCUGGAAGGAUGACCAGCCACACUGGAACUGAGACACGGUCCAGACUCCUACGGGAGGCAGCAGUGGGGAAUAAUGAACAAUGGGCGCGAGCCUGAUGCAGCCAUGCCGCGUGUAUGAAGAAGGCCUUCGGGUUGUAAAGUACUUUCAGCGGGGAGGAAGGGAGUAAAGUUAAUACCUUUGCUCAUUGACGUUACCCGCAGAAGAAGCACCGGCUAACUCCGUGCCAGCAGCCGCAGUAA